CCUACGGGAGGCAGCAGUGAGGAAUAUUGGUCAAUGGACGCGAGCCUGAACCAGCCAAGUAGCGUGAAGGAUGACUGCCCUACGGGUUGUAAACUUCUUUUAUAUGGGAAUAAAAUGUUCCACGUGUGCGCUUUUGUAUGUACUUUAUGAAUAAGGAUCGGCUAACUCCGUGCCAGCAGCCGCGGUAAUACGGAGGAUCCGAGCGUUAUCCGGAUUUAUUGGGUUUAAAGGGAGCGUAGGUGGAUUGUUAAGUCAGUUGUGAAAGUUUGCGGCUCAACCGUAAAAUUGCAGUUGAUACUGGCAGGCUUGAGUACAGUAGAGGUGGGCGGAAUUCGUGGUGUAGCGGUGAAAUGCUUAGAUAUCACGAAGAACUCCGAUGGCGAAGGCAGUUCACUGGACUGCAACUGACACUGAGGCUCGAAAGUGUGGGUAUCAAACAGGAUUAGAUACCCCAGUAGUC
rnacentral:rRNA from 1 species